rnacentral:rRNA from 1 species
UGGGGAAUUUUGGACAAUGGGCGCAAGCCUGAUCCAGCCAUGCCGCGUGUCUGAAGAAGGCCUUCGGGUUGUAAAGGACUUUUGUCAGGGAAGAAAAGGCUGUUGUUAAUACCGACAGCUGAUGACGGUACCUGAAGAAUAAGCACCGGCUAACUACGUGCCAGCAGCCGCGGUAAUACGUAGGGUGCGAGCGUUAAUCGGAAUUACUGGGCGUAAAGCGAGCGCAGACGGUUACUUAAGCAGGAUGUGAAAUCCCCGGGCUCAACCUGGGAACUGCGUUCUGAACUGGGUGACUAGAGUGUGUCAGAGGGAGGUAGAAUUCCACGUGUAGCAGUGAAAUGCGUAGAGAUGUGGAGGAAUACCGAUGGCGAAGGCAGCCUCCUGGGAUAACACUGACGUUCAUGCUCGAAAGCGUGGGUAGCAAACAGGAUUAGAUACCCUGGUAGUCCACGCCCUAAACGAUGUCAAUUAGCUGUUGGGCAACUUGAUUGCUUAGUAGCGUAGCUAACGCGUGAAAUUGACCGCCUGGGGAGUACGGUCGCAAGAUUA